GGCCGAGUGGCAGAGUGGCUAUGCACCGGAUUGCAAAUCCGUGUACAUCGGUUCGAUUCCGGUCUCGGCCUCCA
rnacentral:tRNA from 3 species